rnacentral:tRNA from 1 species
UAGCCUAGUGGUUAAGGCUACGGAUCGCCCAUCCGGAGACGGCGGGUUCGAUUCCCGC